CACCUCGUGUCACACUGCAGCUCUGUCCAGAUGAUUCUAAUAAUAGCCCAGUGGAAUUCUGAGGUUGGAGGAGACUGAGAGAGGUCACUGAGUCUGUCUUCUGCCUGUAGAAGGGAGCUGAGAACCUACUCACUAAGACGGGUGGAGGAAGAGCCUGCCCAGAAGGGCCCAGAGCUAACAGAAGGAGUAGGGAGGAAUCUAACAAGCUAGGGAGGAAGUGGGCCAACCUGUCCAGGGAAGAAGCUGCGAUUACCAGGGCAAUGAGCUACUUUGCAUCACUCAGUGCAGCGCAUGUGUGAGGUGGGCAGGACUGCCCAGGAAUCCAGUGGUGUGCAGGCAGAUUCCAGAUUAGUGUUAAGGUGGACCCUGGUUAACAGAGAAAGCUUCAAAGGAUAUGAAUUUAA